rnacentral:rRNA from 1 species
CUGGCUCAGGAUGAACGCUGGCGGCGUGCCUAACACAUGCAAGUCGAGCGAUUCUCUUCGGAGAAGAGCGGCGGACGGGUGAGUAACGCGUGGGUAACCUGCCUCAUACACAUGGAUAACAUACCGAAAGGUAUGCUAAUACAGGAUAAUAUAAGAGAUUCACAUGGAUUUCUUAUCAAAGCUCCGGCGGUAUGAGAUGGACCCGCGUCUGAUUAGCUAGUUGGUAAGGUAACGGCUUACCAAGGCGACGAUCAGUAGCCGACCUGAGAGGGUGAUCGGCCACAUUGGAACUGAGACACGGUCCAAACUCCUACGGGAGGCAGCAGUGGGGAAUAUUGCACAAUGGGCGAAAGCCUGAUGCCAGCAACGCCGCGUGAGUGAUGAAGGCCUUCGGGUCGUAAAACUCUGUCCUCAAGGAAGAUAAUGACGGUACUUGAGGAGGAAGCCCCGGCUAACUACGUGCCAGCCGCUGC